GACGGAAGGUGCAAGCGUUGCUCGGAAUCACUGGGCGUAAAGGGUGCGUAGGCGGCUUGGUGGGUCUGGUGUGAAAGCCCCGGGCUCAGCCCGGGAAGGGCACUAGAAACUGCCGAGCUGGAGUGCCGGAGGGGAGAGUGGAAUUCCUGGUGUAGCGGUGAAAUGCGUAGAUAUCGUAAGGAAGACCAGUGGCGAAGGCGGGUCUCUGGACAGUUCCUGACACUGAGGCACGAAGGCCAGGGGAGCAAACGGG
rnacentral:rRNA from 1 species